AGCAAAUCCGUUAUCCGCAAAGUUCUGUCCAGUUGUCUUAGAACAAUAGUUGCAGAUAUUGUACCAGAGUUUAUCUAUGGAUUGAUAUCGAGGAAGCUUUUUGAGUUAGAUUUGUAGACCAUGGUGUACAAGGUGGAAUCUUCUCUCAAUCAUGAUGGAGGGGUGCAUGCAUGUGGGGCUGGACAAGGUGAACAACAUGGUGGUGUACAAUACAGGUAACAUGGACAUGACUUCCAUACUUUUCGUGCAGGUAACAUGCAGUGAAGGCUUUCACCAGAG